rnacentral:rRNA from 1 species
UACGUAGGGUGCGAGCGUUGUCCGGAAUUAUUGGGCGUAAAGAGCUCGUAGGCGGUCUGUCGCGUCGAAUGUGAAAACCCGGGGCUCAACUCCGGGCCUGCAUUCGAUACGGGCAGACUAGAGUUCGGUAGGGGAGACUGGAAUUCCUGGUGUAGCGGUGAAAUGCGCAGAUAUCAGGAGGAACACCGGUGGCGAAGGCGGGUCUCUGGGCCGAUACUGACGCUGAGGAGCGAAAGCGUGGGGAGCAAACAGG